ensembl:lncRNA
GUCUGACCAUUAUAGUUUGUACUGCUAUCUAUCUUAUCCAGGACAGUAUCCUGGUUAAAUAAAUGUUAAAUAAAUAAAAUAAAAUCUGCUGAGUUAGUUUUUGUGGCUCUCAGUUGACUGUAGGGAACUAGCAAAAUAUUCAAACCUGUUAAAAACCUGUUUUAUUCAAAAAGUCUUUUUUUUUUUUUUUUACUUUAGUGUUUGUGUAGAUUAAAUAAACAAAAUAUUUCAUUUAAUUUAGUGCUGUCAGCGUUAAUCUCGUUAAAAUGACAUUAACGGCAUAACCGCAUUAACGCGGUAAAUCUCCGUUAGCGACAUCAGCGUAACUUUGUGCUGAACAUUGGGGGGGUCAAGAUCUCUGUCUAAAUAAAUAAAUAAAUCUGGGUAAAUUCCCAGAUGAUUAAACAUGCAACUGUUUUGCUGGUAAUACCUGAAAUGAGUAAAGAAAAUCAACAGCCUAUUUAUGCAAGAUAAAUUAUAAUUUUAUUGUGGGGGUUAUAUUGGUUGGGCCUGAUUAUUGCACGGUGCUAACAGGUUAACGAGCUAACCGCGUUAACGCUUUGACGCUGUGCAGCCCCAAGCAUGGGGCUGCACCCUAACUGAGAUUUGCUGCGUUAAUGUGGUUAUUCCAUUAACGUCAUUUUAACGAGAUUAAUGCUGACAGCACUAAUUUAAUUCCAUAAUUUUCUAGGCUGUAUUUCACCCCUUUUUCCAGCCUUUUUGCUAAUGUUAAUCUGAGAAAGUACUGGUAUUAAUAGCUAGCAGUACCCUCUGACUAUUUUCCUUACCAUAACCUAGGGUGACCAUAUUUUGAUUUCCAAAAAGGAGGACACUUGGCCCAGCCAUGAAGAACUUCAGCUGAAUGGUGAAAUAAAAAAUGUCAUAUAGGCUUUUUCAAGUCAACAAGUGCAAAAAAAUAACUUAAAAACCCCUGGAAUUAAAUAAUGGUACAGAAAUAAGGCCUCAUCUGUAUAAAAAAAAAUUACCACUACCGGGACGGUACGAGGGAAGCUGCACUUGCGCUUUGGCAUCUUUUAAACAUCAUCAGGCAUGCUGCUGCACGCUGUCUGUCCCGUCUGUGAACGCAGAACAACCACUCACGAAGCAGCAGCUCAGGAUGACGUCACACAUAUGGGUCCUCUGUAGGCCUAUAGAAAAACCCGGACAUUUUCAUCAAUCUCGAAAAUGCCCCCGGACGGCUCGGACAGAAUGUGAAAAGUGGACAUGUCCAGGAAAAAGAGGACAGUUGGUCACCCUACCAUAACCAUGAGUAUGGCAUCAACCGUUUUACACCACAGCUUUGGGCACAUAAUUGUCAUAGUUGGCAUUUUGAAUUUACUUCAAGUACAGUUUGAUUACUUUUAGUUUUUUCUUGUAGAGUUUCACAAAAAAGUUCUACAUUUGCUGGUCGCUAGCUAACACUAGCUAGCUAGCUAACACUAGAACGUUAUAUAUUUCAUGUCGAUUUCAUUGUUUUUUGUGUUUGACUGUAUUUGUUAUUUAUUUGUCAAAGAUUAAAUUCUUUUUCUUCAAGCUAGCAUGAGCUGGGCAAGUGUCAGAGAGACAAAACUGCAUAAAAUCAAACAAUGCAAGACCCAGAUUAUUGAGGAAACACUAGGUGUUUGAAAGCUUGCAAAAAACUAGUCCCAAACAAAACAUUAUUUUCUCAAUCUGUUUUCAAUGAUAGACUGUUGUUCUCAAUCCUAACCAUCAUUGUACCAUAAACUGAAGCACCAAGCCUAAGAUGGGUGGAAAAGUCAUAAACUCAUAAACUAAACAAAUAACUCAGCUACUAAAGGAAGUAUGUGUAUAAGUCAAUAGUCUAGAUGGCUCAAGCAACUCUUUUAUUAGACAGAAUUGCAUGCUAUAGAAAGCAGAUGAUACUUUUAUAUUUAUGUAUUUAUUUAAAACAUAGUGAUUGCAAAGCUUUUCACUAGGAAAUUACAGUAUUUGAGCAAAAUGCCAAAUUAAUCUUAAGAAAAUGUUAUCAAUAAAAUUAAAUUAUUUAGCUUAAAGGAAAUAUCGGUAUUCACUUACAAAGAUUCUUUACCUUUAUAAAAGAAUAGAAAAGCUUAAGUAUCAAAUGUGAAGGACAAUAGGAAGAUUAACUCAUAAAAUUAAAUACACUGAACCCACUAGAUGAGUAGUAUCUGUCAAUAAGAUACAAAUAUCAAAUAAAAUAUAAAUACAUUUCAUACUAUUAUGUAAAUGUUUUGAUCAGCUAAGGAUUAUUUUCUGGCCUUCAGUCAAGCAAUCAAAAUAGCAAAGUGGUGAAACAGACAUUAUUAUGUCUUCCUCUUGGCCCAUGAGAUCACAAUCUUGAAUAUACAUAUACUAUACAUAUAUCAGUUUAUUCCUUCUUGAGCCAUUCAGACAUUUAAGCCUUCCUCUAUCCACUCAGCAUGGUCAGGAUUAAGUCUGAUCUCAGGAUAGGACAUGUUUCAUCUGACGAUCUACAUCCACUUCGAUCCUUAUUGUGCAACAGCUGGUCUUAGAUCUUCCCUGUGUACUUCAAUAUACCAAAGAUACCACCACCUGCAAUAAAAAUGGAUUAACUGUUAUUCAUUUAUUAAUGUCUCGCAAAGACAAAUAUGAGUCCAAGUCCAAGACUAGUCGAGAAAUUACUGAUUAAAUACUCAAAGUUGUGAAACACUGUAGCAAAAGUCUCAAUUAUUAUUUUCUAUCAUGUCAUUUAUCUUAGAGAACCAAUUUCUUUCCUAAGUAUAUUGUAAUCUUUUACAACUAUCACUAAUACAUUUUACUAAUGAUUAAUUAAUUAAAUUUAUUUCCUUCUAUAUUUGCAUAUUUUCUUGCCAAGAAUAGGCUCCUGUAUCUGUAAAGCACAUUCCCGGUUGCUAUGGCUCUUCCCCAGCACCAUCCUGGUUGAUGAAUAACAGAUGAUAUGUGAUUGAGGAAGCAGAAAUGUUGGUAAAUUCAGGCUCGUGUGUAGUACUGACCGACUGCUCCCACACCGGCAAUGGAGCCGAUGGUGAUGCCUGCUAUAGCACCCGGUGAAAGCCCUGAGUUGGAUUCCUUAACAAUCUCAGUGGUAGGAACUGAUUCAGUAGAAUCAGUUCCGAUGAUGGUGGUACUGGUGGUGUCAGAUGCGGUGACUGUGGCCGUGUUGGAUCCAUCAGUUGAAGCAGUCGAUGGAGCAGUUGAUAUUUCUGUGAUGGUGGUUGCUGGUGUUGCAGUAAUCUCACCCUCUCCUCCACACAGAAAUACUGUCAGGAAAAUCAAAAAGGAUUAAAAGGCAAAAUCAUGCAAAGGUUUCUCAAAAGGUUAACAAACCUCUGUUCCUGUGAUGCUGACAGAAACUAGUCACAACUUCUGACUUAAAACAUGUUUUUUUUAAAACAUAACAUUUUCUACAAUUUAUUAAAAAUGUUUCCAGAUUAAAGAUUUAGGUUUUCAGCCGUUGACAUUUAUGACCCAAUAUCAAGAUAAUGGAGUUCAGUACUUAUUUACAGCUUUGCGUUCUUAAUGGAAGAAUGUCUUAGAUAAUAAACUCAACCUUUGCUCUAAUGACGCUAUAGAAAAAGCCCCCGAAGGCCUAACCCUUUCAAGAAUUUCAACAUUUACUACUCUGUCUACGUGGCCUCCCAUCAACCUUCCCUUUGAUUACCAGGAAAUGCUUUAACUUUGGUCCACCACUACUAAAAUUUGCUACGAUGGUAUGCUACGACUAUGAUUAGAUUCUAUGCUAACACCAUGAAACAGAUCAUACUUCACGCAAAAAAUGAAAGGUAAGUCUAGAUAUGGAUGUGGUCCAAAUUAACCAUUAAAACUUUUUCAACUUUUUUUUUUUUAAAAAUCAUAAACUAUGAAUUAAAACAAAGUUAUCUGACGUAUAUAUGCUGAAUAUUUCAGUCAGCUUCCAUUUGAGGGCAGAGUGACCAGAGAUGUUUUAAAAAAGAUAAUCUUGUGAUGCUCCAUGUGUCAAUAACAAUUAAUUAAUAAUCUUUAGUUAUUCUCUUCAAACUCUCUUUAAAAAAAAUUUUUGUCCUCCCUUUUCUAAAAGGAUCACUUUUAAAGGUUUAUGUAUUGUAAAUUUUUUUUUUAUUUUUUUUUUUACCUGUGGUAAGAAGGCAAAAAGCCUGUAGAAGAAGACUCAGCUUCAUUGUGCUUUGAAAACGGGGAAUAAAUCGACGUAGUCAAAGAGACUUCUCAGGUCAAAAACUGCACGAAAAACACAAAAGCACAAACAUAAUGGUGAGUUAAUUUCACUAAAAUCUCUCACUCGCAGACAGAAAAUAUAUUAUAGCAGCUUUGGUGUUUUCAUAUCUGAACAUAUUUCGAUUUGUAGCGAGUUAAAUGCAUCUUAAACUCAUCUUAAAGUUUAUCACCUCAUUUUAGGCUGACCUGAGUUUAUCAUGUGAGACAGAUAAGAGUAACUUCAAUCAAACUGACAUCAGUAUUGUGUGGGAAUAAUGUAUUAUAGAAGGCAAAAAUAAUAAAAAUAUCUUUUUAAAUAAAUGCCAGUCAAGCCUAUAAUCAUUUACAUUUCAUGGCUCUACAUCACCAAGGCAUCACUAAUUUGUAAAUACAGUUAUAAAAAACACAAAAACUGUCAAGCGACUAUUUGUAGUCCCAUCAGAGAGAUAAUGGGUAUUUACCCAGAUGCCACAGCAGUCUAUGAAUGAAUCCAAAAGAUUUAAGAAAACUUCAAGAGAAAAACUGACUUACUCACCU